UAACACUAACUGGAGGACCGAACCGACUAAUGUUGAAAAAUUAGCGGAUGACUUGUGGCUGGGGGUGAAAGGCCAAUCAAACCGGGAGAUAGCUGGUUCUCCCCGAAAGCUAUUUAGGUAGCGCCUCGUGAAUUCAUCUCCGGGGGUAGAGCACUGUUUCGGCAAGGGGGUCAUCCCGACUUACCAACCCGAUGCAAACUGCGAAUACCGGAGAAUGUUAUCACGGGAGACACACGGCGGGUGCUAACGUCCGUCGUGAAGAGGGAAACAACCCAGACCGCCAGCUAAGGUCCCAAAGUCAUGGUUAAGUGGGAAACGAUGUGGGAAGGCCCAGACAGCCAGGAUGUUGGCUUAGAAGCAGCCAUCAUUUAAAGAAAGCGUAAUAGCUCACUGGUCGAGUCGGCCUGCGCGGAAGAUGUAACGGGGCUAAACCAUGCACCGAAGCUGCGGCAGCGACGCUUAUGCGUUGUUGGGUAGGGGAGCGUUCUGUAAGCCUGUGAAGGUGGCCUGUGAGGGUUGCUGGAGGUAUCAGAAGUGCGAAUGCUGACAUAAGUAACGAUAAAGCGGGUGAAAAGCCCGCUCGCCGGAAGACCAAGGGUUCCUGUCCAACGUUAAUCGGGGCAGGGUGAGUCGACCCCUAAGGCGAGGCCGAAAGGCGUAGUCGAUGGGAAACAGGUUAAUAUUCCUGUACUUGGUGUUACUGCGAAGGGGGGACGGAGAAGGCUAUGUUGGCCGGGCGACGGUUGUCCCGGUUUAAGCGUGUAGGCUGGUUUUCCAGGCAAAUCCGGAAAAUCAAGGCUGAGGCGUGAUGACGAGGCACUACGGUGCUGAAGCGACAAAUGCCCUGCUUCCAGGAAAAGCCUCUAAGCAUCAGGUAACAUUAAAUCGUACCCCAAACCGACACAGGUGGUCAGGUAGAGAAUACCAAGGCGCUUGAGAGAACUCGGGUGAAGGAACUAGGCAAAAUGGUGCCGUAACUUCGGGAGAAGGCACGCUGAUAUGUAGGUGAAGCGACUUGCUCGUGGAGCUGAAAUCAGUCGAAGAUACCAGCUGGCUGCAACUGUUUAUUAAAAACACAGCACUGUGCAAACACGAAAGUGGACGUAUACGGUGUGACGCCUGCCCGGUGCCGGAAGGUUAAUUGAUGGGGUUAGCGGUAACGCGAAGCUCUUGAUCGAAGCCCCGGUAAACGGCGGCCGUAACUAUAACGGUCCUAAGGUAGCGAAAUUCCUUGUCGGGUAAGUUCCGACCUGCACGAAUGGCGUAAUGAUGGCCAGGCUGUCUCCACCCGAGACUCAGUGAAAUUGAACUCGCUGUGAAGAUGCAGUGUACCCGCGGCAAGACGGAAAGACCCCGUGAACCUUUACUAUAGCUUGACACUGAACAUUGAGCCUUGAUGUGUAGGAUAGGUGGGAGGCUUUGAAGUGUGGACGCCAGUCUGCAUGGAGCCGACCUUGAAAUACCACCCUUUAAUGUUUGAUGUUCUAACGUGGGCCCCUUACCGGGGUUGCGGACAGUGUCUGGUGGGUAGUUUGACUGGGGCGGUCUCCUCCUAAAGAGUAACGGAGGAGCACGAAGGUUGGCUAAUCCUGGUCGGACAUCAGGAGGUUAGUGCAAUGGCAUAAGCCAGCUUGACUGCGAGCGUGACGGCGCGAGCAGGUGCGAAAGCAGGUCAUAGUGAUCCGGUGGUUCUGAAUGGAAGGGCCAUCGCUCAACGGAUAAAAGGUACUCCGGGGAUAACAGGCUGAUACCGC
rnacentral:rRNA from 1 species